ensembl:lncRNA
CUGCUGUCACAUAAAGGCUGUGCGUUGUUCAGCUGUGCGUGUCAUUUUAAUCACCAGUCUUGCAUGUUGACAGUGGUUGCUCUUAAUUUUUAGCGCUUUCACUAAAACAUGAACAUCAAACUUGUGAACAGCUUCAUGUGAGCACACUGAAGAGAACUGCCAGACAUCAAGAACAACGGCCUGUUGCAAGUAAGUCUGCGUUUAAAAAACAAGGGAUGUUGUCAUCUUUAAUGUUACGUAUGUCUAUAUAUAUCUGCUGAAGUUGGAGGUAGGAAUUCUUACUUCCUCCCAGCAAUGAUAAUGAGAGUGAGAAUUGCUCCAGAGGCUUUCUUACAUUUGCAUCUUGUUGGCCUUCAAAGUCUUAGUUUGGAACAUUUUUGAUGCUGUGGGUAGAAUGGGCACAGUCAGCUUACAAGAGCCGUGUGUCAAGUAUGGCACAGACAGACAAGAGUGAAGAACAGCUGCAAAGUGACUGAUGUGUUCCCCAUUUUUCUUUCGGAAGUCCUCUCAGGUUGCUUACCAAUGCUUGUUUCUGUUUCAAACCUCACAUGAUUUCAACUGUCUCUGGACUGUUUUUGCCAGAACUCCAUUGUCUCAGCAAGCAACUUCCCAGCAACUAAAGCUGAUUAAACUCCUGUCUUCUGCUGUCUCCACUUGUGUUAAGUCAGCUCUAACAUUCACCCGGACUGGCUUUGAAUUGUUUCAUCCCACCAGCCCAACACAGAACUAACCUAAAUAAAUAAAAAAGAAAAAGCUUUCUAGGAGAGAGAUGGUAUAACUCAGGGAAAGGUUAAUGUAGGGCCAGAAGAAGUACAAUAACAGGUGUAGUAAAGCCAAAUUGAUGCAACCAGUUGCUAGACUGGCGUGGGCCAGACAUAGACUUAGCUUCUCUGCAUGCUGAGCUUUGGUCAUAGGAAAAAAACCUGCAUCUCUAGAGUAUGGCUGCAUUCCCAGGAACAACAGUGCUGUAAACCCUAGGGUUACUGCAAGAGAAUCUGGCACCUAUUUAAUGAGUAUAGACACGAUCAGUCACAGGCAGGAGUUUGUGCUUUUAAAGAGUUUCAUGUCAGUAACUGGAACUUACUCUAAGCACCUACGUCCUUCACCAUCGGUACGAGCAGCACACGGAUGGGGAACCAAAGUGGUACAGAGUGGCAAAGGCUAACUUUUGCCUCUUCUGAAUUUGAGGUUCUCCACUUACUUUCAGCACGUAAGUACAUUCCUGAAAGGCAUUAUUUCAAGAAGGGUUGAAUCUGGAAGUAGGCAGCUCCAAUGGACAAUAUGAAGUGGCAGAUUUCUGCCCCUGUUGGACACCUGGGUAUUCACAUAGGCACUGGGAACAGCAGCUUUAUUUAACCCCGAGAAGCACGGAGCGCUGGCACUUGGCUACCCAGCGUUAUCGCUACCCCUGACUCACAGAGUCCAAAGGAAUCACUUGCAUCACUACUAUUGUUAUCUGGCAAGGCAUGAAAUUCAGUCACACAUUUCACUCAGAGCACAAACACGACCUUUGAAAGCGGAUUUUGAACCGCAGCAGAGUUACACUGCUGCCACAGGAAAUCAGUCUCUACUUGUAUUAGGGCUGGUGUUCCUCCCGUUCUCAAGAUAAAACCAAACCAAACAAACCCACUGACUUUAUCUGUGUCAUAUCAACAACUGCCAUUGCUCUGCAUUUGUUGGCCACCCUUGUUUCUGACACAGUGAAACAGGUGCUGCUGGUGAAAUGAGCACGGCAGCUCUGAGGCAGAAUUUUGGAGUCAACCAGAUGGAGACUGUAAGAACACAGGAAGUUUCCCAGAAAUGGCUUCAGAAUAGUUUGCAGUUGGCGUGCAGACAGAGCCAGGGAAACCAUCAAACUGCUUGGAUUAAGAAGCAAAUCAUGCUGAGAGAAGAUCACAGACCCCAGGAAGGCUGCAGUAAAAUAAGGACUGCAGUUCAUCAGGGUGUACACGGCUUCCAUCAGCCGCAAGCACCGGUGGCAGUAGAUCUACUUCACUGGAAUUAAUAAUGCAAACUGUAAUUGGAGGAGGGAGCACCUAUAAUUUGGCGUUCAAAAUCUUUAUAACUGCUCACAUUAUGAACGAAGCUUGAUUUGUAGGUUGAGCCUUAAGUUCUGGCAGCAGAAGAAAAUACUACAUAGGUGAUAGAAACGGCUGGAGAAGAGGUACAUAAAACCUCGGAGGCACUUCCCUACUGCCUAUGUUUGCUAGUGUAUUCUAUACAUGCAACCUUACUUCCCACACUUGGGCUUUUGCCAAUAUUUGCAAAAACAGACUGCAUAAGUGCCCUUGGGCUCCUGAAUCAGCACAGCCUCAAGGCUGCACUGAUAUUCUGCCUUCGGCUCAGCCUUAGCCCCACUUCACGCCCUGUGUCAUGCCUUGGGGCAAGGUGCAGCUUUUAGUGUAAGCUUCACAGUGCUCAGGGAGACGGCUUGCACAGGGCAUC